UCCUUUCACUAAGUCGCUAACGCUCCCCAUCAGCUAACAUGUUUCCUUUCACUAAGUCGCUAACGCUCCCCAUCAGCUAACAUGCCAAGACCCAUCGCAGGAGGCUGUCAAUGUUUCCAUAGGGAUGAGAAAACACAGCAGCCAGUCAGACUCCAACAGCACUAAGGCUACACUGCUCUUUAAUUAGCUCAUCCUGCAGGACUUAGUGAGAGGAAGUGGACAUUUGAUACGUUGAUGCCAGUUCCAAGGCUGAUUGCAAAAUAACAGAGAAAGAUAGAAUCAUGUGGGGGUCGAAUAGUCUUAAGUCAAGAGGAAAUUCAGCAACUCUUGGAGAAUGGUGGAAGUUAAUCAAAGUGCUUUAUUGUUGAGUCAAAAGCAAUGUGUUUUGGCCCAUUUUAGCUUUCAUCAGGGUUUCAGGUCAAAUGAUCUUAAAUUUAGUUUGCACUAGAUCUGUAGUUGGAUAGACAUUAAAGGUCUGGAGCUCUGGAUCUUCUGCCCAGGAUGUUCCUUAACAUAACUUACCUAGCCUCUAAACCAGCCCUUUGUUUCCCCAACAGGUCUUUAAAGUUUACCUCUAAACCCAGCCCCUUUGUUUCCCCAGCAGGUCUUUAAAGUUUACCUCUAAACCAGCCCCUUUGUUUCCCCAGCAGGUCUUUAAAGUUUACCUCUAAACCAGCCCCUUUGUUUCCCCAGGUCUUUAAAGGUGAAUUUCAGCUACCUGAGUUUCUAAGAGAACAUUCUCAGCUUCAGAAGACUCCAGAAAAACCAACCCCAGUUAGGAGGAGCAGCCAACACGCCACACAGACAAGACGAGGCACCGAUGGACAGACAUCCAAUAGACUCACCACCACUUUUUGGGGACCUCAGUACUCUUCCAUGGACACACACACAAACACAUACGCUAUAUAUACAAAAGUAUGUGGACAUCGUUUCAAAUUAGUGGAUUCUGCU